rnacentral:misc_RNA from 1 species
GGAUCCAGCACUCACAUCAUCAUGAGCAUAUGAGCGAAGCAUUGAUCUGUUGAUAGAAAUAAAUUGAGCCAAGGCCUUCGAUACAGCAAAUAUUUCACCGGAAGCAUGCCUGAAGUAUGAUUUUCCAUCCCCAAAUUUCCACCACUCUGGCUCAUACCAUUUCUGUUCCGGCUGUGAAAAAACUUCGCCAGAUUUCAUACACCCUAUGUAGGCACGAGGCUUAUCCAGAUAGGUGGUAAGUACAGAUCCAAUAGCAUCUAAAUUAACAUAGACAUUGUCGUUGACCUUGGCAUAAAACUCAGCAUCCCAAUGCUCAACAGCGUGAGCAAAAAAUGACUUUGUCUUCUUUGAUUGCUCUUGAGGGGACUCCACAUGAUCAUUAAGAAUGAUGAAGUCAUCGAAACUCCUGCUUUCAUCAUCAAUGGCUCUAUCCGAACUAUCUCCACGAUUCAAACUUCUUCCUAUGACAAAUCGAAUUACGAUACCUUUCUCCUCCUCUAACUUUUUACGAGCAGGACCAGUAGGCAUCCAUGCUUUGCGAAUUGCGUCUCUGUUUUUCUUGUUGCCAAAAUUUGUAGAGACACCUAUAACAGCUAGAAGUUUUUUCUUUGAAUCCUUCUCAUUGUUAUCCAGUAGAUGCUUUGACACAAAACCUUCCUCACUGGCUUUACCCAGUUCCAUCUGAAGUGCAGUCAGCCUCUUCUGUUGUUCCCUGCAGGUUAUGAUCUUCAGUGUAUCAUCUACUGAUAUAGCCGAACGGCCCUGUCCGGUUCUCCUAUCAAGCUCUUGAAUAAGAUAUACCCUAUUCUCCGAGUCCAUCCACAACCUGCCGGCAACAUAAAGAGCAGCCAUUGUAGAGAACAUAGAGAGCAUUAGAAACGAGAUUCGAGAUCGGAAAUUGGAGGUGGAUGAUAACCGGUUGGCGGAACCCCUGCUAUUCAUUUCUACUAUACGUCGUCGACUCCGACGGAUCAGUACUCGUCAGCGGCCGGAUACGUCGAUUGAUAUCGGAUGAAUUUAGACUGAUCGGAGCUGAUUGAAUUGCCUAGAUUUUCGAUCCAAUUGUCAAUUUGGGAUAUUUUUU